AUAAUGAUUGUGAUAUGUGAUGGCGUACGUAGCCCACUGUCCUGCUGGAAUGAAUGAGAGAAUGCCUACAUGUUUUCUGUCACCAAAUGCUCAGUGAUCAUUGACAUUUUUGGUCGGGGUGGGGUUUUUUCCCUCCGUGGUAUAAAACAGCAUUUGCUUCACCAGGAGAGAGUAUUACCGACGCUAGCUACGACAAGGUGAGACAGGUUGUAUACUUUGUCUUUACUUCUCUAAAGCAACGGCCUAAGAUAAAUCAAAUCGGCGACAAUGAAGACGUAUCUGUGCCUGGCUCUCUUGAUGUUUAUCGGUUGCGUCUUGGGAAGUGAGAUGGAGAGAGAGCUGAUCCUAAGACUUCUCGAAGACCUGGGAGCUCGUCGCGAGUUUGAAGUCAAGAGAGGUUCCUGUCAGAAAACCACAGAUUGUCCUCCUGGUAAGGUGUGUGUGAAGGAGCAUCCUCGCGAUCCGGGCGAGUGCCAGUGAAAGCCAACCGUCGGCCUUCAGACGCAAUACACACAGAUGCUGAUUCAACAAACAACGGAUUGGAUGCUUGUCAAGUAAACAGACGGGUGGUGGUUCAGAAAAAUUUCUUCAACUUGUUUUAUUGACAGAUUCCCUACAUUGUGUAUUCCUAUUGGCAAAAAACGAUGGCAGGCGGAAAACAAUGAAGGACCAAUCGACUGCACAAUUAGACUCAUGUUGUAACUAUUGAAAUAUAAAACAAACUUGAAAAUUGAAAGUAAUGAAAUGUUGGCAUUUUUUAAAAAAAGGGACGGCUAGAAUUCAUGAGUUUACAAAAAAAUCCCCACAUAACCAACGUACAAACUCGUGCACGAAAAAGGACGAAUAAUUUUCUCCUUGGUGUGACUUUUAUUUUAUGAUGGUAGCAUACUUAUAACCUCGCAUAAUGAUUACGCCGAUAUAUGAUACCUUGGUGAAAAAUUAUAGUUUCUUUGAGGAUUGUCAAGAAGGCCAAGUUUCGUCAGCAGAGAUCUACACUGGGUGUGGCCCAUUUGAAUAACAAGUCUCAAUUUAUUGCUAAUUUGAGUAAAUGUGUCUUUAAUGCUUCAAAUGCUGAACCGUAUAACUUCUUUUUCUUCUGAAUACAUGUAUGUUUCUGCUAAAUAACACCCUUAUUUACACUACAUGUUCUAACACUGGGUUAUUAAAGUUUGAAAGAGAAAACAGUGACUUUGUCUGUCGUCUUUCAGUGAAUAUCGUUUCCAAAGAUGUAUUUCCAAAUCCAUAUGUUUACCAGAUUAUGAGGACCGUUAAGACAAUCAUUAUCAUUCACUCAGUGUUCAGCAUUCUAAGGACUUAAAGUUUAAAAUUAAUAGGAUUACAAAAAGACAG